AGUUCUAUACUUUAAGAAAAAGACUUGAUUUGCAUUCAAUAAUUGAAUCCCCAUUCUAGAACUA
rnacentral:tRNA from 1 species